UACAGAGGGGGCAAGCGUUAUUCGGAAUUAUUGGGCGUAAAGGGCGCGUAGGCGGCUUGGCAAGUGGAAGGUGAAAUCCCUCGGCUUAACCGAGGAACUGCCCUCCAAACUGCUUUGCUUGAGGCCGGGAGAGGCGAGUGGAAUUCCCAGUGUAGCGGUGAAAUGCGUAGAUAUUGGGAGGAACACCAGUGGCGAAGGCGGCUCGCUGGACCGGCAUUGACGCUGAGGAGCGAAAGCUAGGGGAGCAAACGGGG
rnacentral:rRNA from 1 species